GUUUGAAACCAUUUCUCCUUGUCCUAUCACAACAGACCCUGCUUAUGACUGCUUCAUUCUUACCGGGCCACUAUGAGGUCAUCUCACAGCCUUCUCUUCUCUAGGCUUAACAGCUCCAGCUCUCUGCCUGUUCUUGUAGGAGAGUGGUUACAUCCCUUGGAUCACUCCAACAGAUCUGUCUCAGCUGUACUGGCAAUCCCACACCUGAACACAGUACUGCAGGCAGAGGCUCCACUGCAUAAGGUUUAUCUGCUCUUUCCUGCCCCAGCACAACCCAUUGCCAAACUGGCUCACCUUGAGGUAAACAACAUCCUGACAGCCCGGCACUCAGCAGGAAAUCCUUGCCUUUGCUACAUCUGCUAUGAAGUUAUGAGAUGCAGCUGUGACCUUCAAGUGUGGACCAUAAGAAACAUCUGGUGCUCUUUUUCAGCAAAGCAUUCCACAACAUUUACAAAUCCAAAACAAGCACCAAGUUGGAAUUAUCAUACAAUAAAUUACUUCAGGGUGUUGA